rnacentral:rRNA from 1 species
AGAGUUUGAUCCUGGCUCAGGAUGAACGCCGGCGGUGUGCCUAGUACAUGCAAGUCGUACGCACUGGCCCAACUGAUUGAUGGUGCUUGCACCUGAUUGACGAUGGAUCACCAGUGAGUGGCGGACGGGUGAGUAACACGUAGGUAACCUGCCCUGGAGCGGGGGAUAACAUUUGGAAACAGAUGCUAAUACCGCAUAACAACAAAAGCCACAUGGCUUUUGUUUGAAAGAUGGUUUUGGCUAUCACUCCGGGAUGGACCUGCGGUGCAUUAGCUAGUUGGUAAGGUAACGGCUUACCAAGGCGAUGAUGCAUAGCCGAGUUGAGAGACUGAUCGGCCACAAUGGAACUGAGACACGGUCCAUACUCCUACGGGAGGCAGCAGUAGGGAAUCUUCCACAAUGGGCGCAAGCCUGAUGGAGCAACACCGCGUGAGUGAAGAAGGGUUUCGGCUCGUAAAGCUCUGUUGUUGGAGAAGAACGUGCGUGAGAGUAACUGUUCACGCAGUGACGGUAUCCAACCAGAAAGUCACGGCUAACUACGUGCCAGCAGCCGCGGUAAUACGUAGGUGGCAAGCGUUAUCCGGAUUUAUUGGGCGUAAAGCGAGCGCAGGCGGUUACUUAGGUCUGAUGUGAAAGCCUUCGGCUUAACCGAAGAAGUGCAUCGGAAACCGGGCAACUUGAGUGCAGAAGAGGACAGUGGAACUCCAUGUGUAGCGGUGGAAUGCGUAGAUAUAUGGAAGAACACCAGUGGCGAAGGCGGCUGUCUGGUCUGCAACUGGCGCUGAGGCUCGAAAGCAUGGGUAGCGAACAGGAUUAGAUACCCUGGUAGUCCAUGCCGUAAACGAUGAGUGCUAGGUGUUGGAGGGUUUCCGCCCUUCAGUGCCGGAGCU